rnacentral:rRNA from 1 species
UCGGGAAUUUUGCGCAAUGGGCGAAAGCCUGACGCAGCAACGCCGCGUGAGGGAUGACGGCCUUCGGGUUGUAAACCGCUGUCAGUGGGGAGGAACGGCCGGGGGAGGCAAUGCCCGCGGUUUGACAGUACCCACAGAGGAAGCACCGGCUAACUCCGUG